UACGUAGGGUGCAAGCGUUAAUCGGAAUUACUGGGCGUAAAGAGCUCGUAGGCGGUUUGUCGCGUCUGCCGUGAAAGUCCGGGGCUCAACUCCGGAUCUGCGGUGGGUACGGGCAGACUAGAGUGAUGUAGGGGAGACUGGAAUUCCUGGUGUAGCGGUGAAAUGCGCAGAUAUCAGGAGGAACACCGAUGGCGAAGGCAGGUCUCUGGGCAUUAACUGACGCUGAGGAGCGAAAGCAUGGGAGCGAACAGGA
rnacentral:rRNA from 1 species